GUUGGGGGAAUGUUUUAACCCAGAUAGCUAUGCCAUGGAGCCUAUUCGUGUAAUUAAAGACUUUGGCUCCAUGGCAAUUAAACUGUAUUCGUGUGGUCUGAGUGCCAUUCACCUAAUAAUGUGCACUCAGACCUGAGCUAUCUGGGGAUAUGUAAUAAAUGUUACUUUAUGUAUUUUAAAGUAUAAUACUGGUUUUGUGUCCCCACGUGUGUAAUGGAGUUUUUGCCUUUGUUUUGGGAGAUAAUUGAAUUACUUCUCAAUUAUCUCCCAGGGCAGAGGGGAGGAAGCCAGGAUGCAUUGUGGGAAUAUACUAUUUGUCUACUUGUCUGUCCCUUGUCACAUUCUCCCAUUUGGUCCCCUAGGGGAGUGUCCACCAGGUGGGAGACCUGCAUAAAUACUGGGCAGGUAGCCCCCAUUAAACAGACCCUGGCCCUUUAAAUGCUCUGGGUAAAGAUCUGUACUUUUGUUAUGGCACUUCGGAUGCAGUCAAAGUGGUCGCCAUUCGACAAACAAACACGUGGUGGCGGCGGCCAUUUUAAUUUAGAUCAAAAUGGGACUUCCAGCUAACUCCCGAACGGCUGAACGUAUUCGAAG